GUCACAGCCGCCAUUGCAAGAGUUGUAAAGUUCGCGGGAAAGUUGAUUUCGUAGAAAAUAGCAGAUCACCAUGUACAAGUUUGUCAACCGAAACAAAUGACUUUGUUUUGAAGCUAGUAUUUACUGCUUCAAACGUUCAGAUAUCUGCAAUCUAACCAGUGUCUACAUCUGCAACAUUGAAUGUGACAUGGUGUGGAGAUUGAUCGUUUCAAAUAUACCGUCUGGUGGAUGCAGUAAAAACAAGAGGAAUCUCUGGUGUACCCACUACCAUGACUAGCUGGCCAAAUGAGUAGACGGACAUGGAUUUACAAACUUGGGCAUUGAAAUAAGCACUGUCAGGGUUUCUGCCAGAGGGUACAAAGGGUGCCGAUGACUCUUACAGAAGAAAUAAUGCCUGGAUGGAAGGAGUUUGAGGUGUUAAGACUGCAGCCAAAUACGAGUGAAAUGUCUGACACAACUUUAAAAGUUAUAGACAUCAGUUGGAUGGCCAACCAUUUUCAGACUAAUCAAAUAAAGCAUUUAUUUUUUA
rnacentral:lncRNA from 1 species